rnacentral:rRNA from 1 species
UACGAGAGGCCCAAACGUUAUUCGGAUUUACUGGGCUUAAAGAGUUCGUAGGCGGCGCAGAAAGUAGGGUGUGAAAUCCCAUGGCUCAACCAUGGAACUGCUUGGUAUACUGGUUGUCUUGAGCCACUUAGGGGCAGUCGGAACAGAUGGUGGAGCGGUGAAAUGCGUAGAUAUCAUCUGGAACGCCAAAGGUGAAAACAGACUGCUGGGAGUGUGCUGACGCUGAGACACGAAAGCUAGGGGAGCGAACGGG